GACGGAGGGUGCUAGCGUUGUUCGGAAUUACUGGGCGUAAAGGGCGCGUAGGCGGCCUGGUCAGUCGGGUGUGAAAGCCCGGGGCUCAACCCCGGAACGGCACCCGAGACGGCCAGGCUGGAGACCGGGAGAGGAGGGUGGAAUAGCCAGUGUAGAGGUGAAAUUCGUAGAUAUUGGCUGGAACACCGGUGGCGAAAGCGGCUCUCUGGCCCGGUUCUGACGCUGAGGUGCGAAAGCGUGGGGAGCAAACAGG
rnacentral:rRNA from 1 species